CAUACCAUUUGCAAAAGUAGACAACCCAAGGUAUUGCAAAUGGGGUAUGUCCAGUCAUUUCUGGUAGCCACUUAGUCACAAACACUGGCCAAAUAUUAGUUUUUUGCUUUUUUUCACACAAAAACAAAUAUGAACGCUAACUUUGGCCAGUGUUUCUGACUAAGUGGCUACUAAAAAAGACUAAACAUACCCCACUUUCAAUACCUUGGGUUGUCUACUUUUUCAAAUGGUAUG
rnacentral:miRNA from 1 species